UACGAAGGGGGCUAGCGUUGUUCGGAAUUACUGGGCGUAAAGGGCGCGUAGGCGGCUCGUUUAGUCGGGUGUGAAAUCCCAAGGCUCAACCUUGGAACUGCAUUCGAUACUGGCGGGCUAGAGACCGGAAGAGGUGGGUGGAAUACCCAGUGUAGAGGUGAAAUUCGGUAGAUAUUGGGUGGAACACCGGUGGCGAAGGCGGCUCACUGGUCCGGUUCUGACGCUGAGGCGCGAAAGCGUGGGGAGCAA
rnacentral:rRNA from 1 species